GACGAACCGUGCGAACGUUGUUCGGAAUCACUGGGCUUAAAGGGCGCGUAGGCGGGGGUGCAAGUCUGUGGUGAAAGCCUCCAGCUUAACUGGAGAAGUGCCAUGGAUACUGCACAUCUUGAGGAGGGUAGGGGCAUCUGGAACGGUCGGUGGAGCGGUGAAAUGCGUUGAUAUCGACCGGAACUCCGGUGGCGAAGGCGGGAUCCUGGGCCAGUACUGACGCUGAGGAGCGAAAGCGUGGGGAGCAAACAGG
rnacentral:rRNA from 1 species